UUUAGGGAAGGGGUGGGGGAUAGUUUGCAGGAUGGGGGGGGGUUUGAAACUUGGCCACAUCCUAAUAGUCUUGGACAGACUAAUUUCCUUGCCUCCUUCCUUCACAUCCAUUAACGAGAAAGGAUUCAGUGAGGUCCACCAUAGACGAGAAAGGAUUCAGUGAGGUCCACCAUAGACGAUAAAGGAUUCAGUAAGGUCCACCAUAGACGAUAAAGGAUUCAGUGAGGCCCACCAUAGACGAUAAAGGAUUCAGUGAGGCCCACCAUAGACGAUAAAGGAUUCAGUGAGGUCCACCAUAGACGAUAAAGGAUUCAGUAAGGUCACCAUAGACGAUAAAGGAUUCAGUGAGGCCCACCAUAGACGAUAAAGGAUUCAGUGAGGUCCACCAUAGACGAUAAAGGAUUCAGUGAGGUCCACCAUAGACGAUAAAGGAUUCAGUGAGGUCCACCUUAGACGAUAAAGGAUUCAGUGAGGUCCACCAUAGACGAGAAAGGAUUCAGUGAGGUCCACCAUAGACGUCGCCUCAUUGUAUCGGUCACUCAUCAGUGAGUGCAUGGGCAGUGCCAUUGAGGCCAUCUCAAUUUUGAAGUAGUCCCAUUUUUCUUCUUCUACUACUUAUAUGAGUUGGUAAACAAACUGAAUGGGUGCGUACUGCCCCCUGGAGGGUGUUGUCGGGAACAGGUAUAACGCCAAGGUUGAUGAUUUACUGCCCUCUGCGCAGUGAUGGAACGUUUACUCACGAGUAUAAUUAAUUGGCUGAUCCUUCCCAAUGACAUGGAUGGAAUUAUGUGAUCCUUCCCUCUUAAAUGUUAAAUUAAAGAUUCACCCAUUUUUAAUGUUAUAUUGUUUUUGUGCAUCUUUGAGCGAUGUUCUAUCGUUUCCUGGGGGGUCAUUUCAUGUUUAAUCUCUGAGCUAUUGCCAUAAAAGCAGGCAAAAAUCCAUCCGGUUUGACGUAGCGUAGUUAAUGGGAACACGAGUUUUAAAUCGCGAAAACUUCUAUCAUGUAUGUCUGAUUUCAAUACUGCUCGAUGUCAACGCGGGAGGUUGUCUUCUCAUUGAUCAUAUUUUAGCGAUAUUCCUACUUCUACAAAUGUGUAAUUUAACAGGAGGGUCCAACACAUCUCUCCUGUUUGCCUCUUCAGUCUAGGGGUGAGUUGCAGGUGCCGUUGUUGAAUGUCAGACUCAUCAACAUCAAUCUGCAGUUUGAACAUGGUGAGAUUGUAGACUCCUAAAUUGAUCGUGCAGUUUGUUAAUAAGGUGAUUUUUACAGCUAGCUAGCUACUUGACAUGCUGAUAUUGACUUUGGUAUUAUUGGGUGAAGCUACGCUUGCUUGCCAGCCCAUCGAGCGCACUGCAUUGUGGGUUUUGUAGUCGACUUGGUCGGCAACAGAUAUCCACAACGAUUUUCAAGUUGCAACCAACCUUAUUAUAGUGACAAAAUGUACCAUUUGUUCACAAAUAAAUAUUGUUCUCACAGUGUUAUUUAACACUGUGAAUUAUAGGAAUGAGUAGUUAUUAGAGUUUUAUUUUAAGGGCACUUUAAACGGUUCUGGACUGGUUCAAUCAAGAUGUUUUGUGUUCCAUGUGUCCUUGAGAUCUAUUGAGCAGUCGGUCAGAAAUCCUGGUCAUCGGCUACAUGUCAUAUUAAACAGAAUAUUAACACUAAAUAGGUCAGGAGCCAAACAGGAAGUCUAAGAAGGAACCAAAGUGAAUUAUUUCGGCUGUGUUGUUUGAAGGCUAUAGCCUACAAAGAAAUACAUUGUGAAGAAUUUGCGAGUGUGACACAAUAUGCUGGUAGGGACAUAAAAGCGGCAAUGAAACAUUUCGUUGUAUUAAAUCAUUAUAGUCAACAACAACAAAAAAUACGCAUAUAGGCUGUGACUUACUUUAGAAUGAAAGAUAAUUUUAACGGAAAAAAAAUGCCUCGUUAGGCUCAGUCUACAGUGCCUUUUGAAUUCAUUUUUAAGAAACACGAGUCUGGCCAGUCUGGGGCUUCAGGUUCAUGGGACGGUGCCUGGAGAACCGUACAACACCGGCCAACCGGAAAAUGUCUCUGUGCUGGCAGAGCCACUGGGGACGCUACACACCCGUUUGGCCACUCUUGGCAGACUGUCCGGAGAUGCAGAGUUGUUUUAAAAGAACCCAAUCCAAACAGAAAGCUCCUUGAACGUGGGAAUAUGUCAGGCCGAUUGGGCCAAAAUCAAUGAUGGCCUUUUGUAUAGAGAAUAGAACAUUCAUGAAGGUAACUUUGAAUAGAUCCGAUUUUUUAGUUUAUAAAUACUUUGCUACAAUGAAAUAAAGGUAAAAUAAAAAAAUAAAAUAAAAUGACACACUUCGUUGCUUAUCGUUUUCUACCCACCUCGUUCCCUUCUGUUAGCAUGUGGACGUGUUACGUACACCGUUAUAUGCUUCCAGGAUUACGUGUCUUCUCAGAUUCCGCAGUGAUUCUUUAGUUGUGGACGUUACAUCACCACACUCCCUCUCUUGGUCCUCAUCUUUGUAAGUCACCUUUCGAUUGUGCACCUGUGUGUUCUAUCAGUUUCUGUAGGCAACCAUUUAGUGAACUCCGUGAACAGUAGCUAAAGCAAGGGGCACACAAACAGAUGACUUGAUGUGAGCGCUACCGGAAGAACUACGCUCCAUAUACUCUGUCGUGUACAGAGCGCUCUGUGAACGGCGCAACAUCAAUUGCUGUACACUCGGUGACAGCUCCGGUUGUCCCGCUUCACAUACCUUUCUCCGCUCGCGUCUGAAUUGCAGUAUGUCAAAUCUGACACUUCUAUUUGCAUAGGGGAGCAACACAUCACAUGUUCUGGCCUAUCCAGACCACGGAUCCCCUGGUUGUGAACCUUCCAGCUCUGCUGACAUUACGGCAUAUGAAAUGCGACUCUAGCAGACAGGCUCAUCUCACUAAUAUUAUCAUGCCGAAAUGUAGAACUCUCGAUAUGAAACAAUACUAAAUUAUCUCGUAGAAUUGAAAUAAGAUCACUUUCUUCUUGGUCACAGAGGGACGAAUUCACCUGAUGCGUAAAGCUGAAGUUGUAAUGAGUCAGUAGACGUUUUGAAUGGUGUCUCUGCGCCUCAGAAGACGCUGGACAGAAAAUGUCAUCUGUCAUCAGUUAUAUGAAAUGGGGCUUAUUAUUAUAAAUUAUGUCACUAAGUAUGAUUAUAUUUCUUUCACAGUUAUAAAAAAAGGUGAAAUAUUAUAGUAAGUAGUUUAAUUUGAUUGUUAGUGUAUUUAGAAAGCAUGAUGAAGAGAUGUAUUGUGUGUCUGGGAGAGGUAUAUGUUAAAACGACCAGGUUGGAUGAUGAUGAAGCGAUGUAUUGUGUGUCUGGGAGGGGUAUAUGUUAAAACGACCAGGUUGGAUGAUGAUGAAGCGAUGUAUUGUGUGUCUGGGAGGGGUAUAUGUUAAAACGACCAGGUUGGAUGAUGAUGAAGAGAUGUAUUGUGUGUCUGGGAGGGGUAUAUGUUAAAACAACCAGGUUUGAUGAUGAUGAUGAAGAGAUGUAUUGUGUGUCUGGGAGGGGUAUAUGUUAAAACAACCAGGUUUGAUGAUGAUGAUGAAGAGAUGUAUUGUGUGUCUGGGAGGGGUAUAUGUUAAAACGACCAGGUUGGAUGAUGAUGAAGAGAUGUAUUGUGUGUCUGGGAGGGGUAUAUGUUAAAACAACCAGGUUUGAUGAUGAUGAUGAAGAGAUGUAUUGUGUGUCUGGGAGGGGUAUAUGUUAAAACGACCAGGUUGGAUGAUGAUGAAGAGAUGUAUUGUGUGUCUGGGAGGGGUAUAUGUUAAAACAACCAGGUUUGAUGAUGAUGAAGAGAUGUAUUGUGUGUCUGGGAGGGGUAUAUGUUAAAACGACCUGGUUUGAUGAUGAUGAAGAUAUCUGUGAGUGUUAUGGUUUGUAUCUGCAACAAUACAUCAAACAGUGAGAAUAAAAGAUGACAUCUUGA